rnacentral:lncRNA from 1 species
AUCCAGUCCGCGUCUGUAUCUACAACUGUGUUGUUGCUGGAGGACAUAAACUGUGAAAUCCUUCCUCUCACUUUCUGGCAGCUCCUCCGCUCUGUGGGAUCGUGCUGCAGCCUCCUCAUGCGCCUUUUUCUUUUUCCCUCAAAGUUUCCCUUCUGAUACCGAGAGUGCUUCUUUAAUGCUCUUCAACCUUUUACUCAGUGUUCGCUGUGCGCCUGCUCUGCUCGAUUACAGUGUGUGCGUGCGCGCGUGUGUGUGUGUGUGUGUGUGAGCGUGCUGGUUUGCCUCAUGCUGAGCUGUACUUGAAAGUCCUUCUCUCCGUCUCUCUCUGCAGAUUGUUCAGUCACCUUGGAGGCUUGUCGGCAGGUCACCGCCGACCUUCACAGCAGUCUGAGGAAAACGGUCUUGAUGUACACCACGGUAGUGGAGAGCGACCAGCAGGCCGGUGAAGAUCAGCAGGCGAUGAGGAGCAUCCUGUCUGAGGCUCUUCUGACGGUGAAGUCGGAGCUGGACUCUCUGCCUCACCCCACCUCAAAGAGUGAGCGUCUCCUCGUGGACCAGCGGGGGAGGAUCGAGGGAGACAAGACGAUGGCUCUGCUGGAGCAGUACGCCGAGCUGCUGCUCAAGUCCGUGGAGAAGAGGCUGGAUACCAAGACCUGAAGGGACGCUCCACCCAGAUAACAGGAGGAGACAUGUAGACACACACUGUGAACUGAACUGUUGUUAUAUGCACCUACAUUUUUUUUAAAAACCAUCUUUAUGAACUGGAAGCCGAUGAGAUCUAAGUGUAUACAGAGAAAACAAAUUCAAUAAUGUUGAGCACUGUGCACUGAACAAAGAACCGGUUAAAAAGUUGCCUUGUUUUUAAAUUGCCAUUGACAUUUGACAUAAGAAUAAACUCAUCAGAAUGUAGCCUAUAUGUGCAGACAGCUCACAGGUUUGGUAGGAAUAAAGAAAAAGUGCAGUUUAUGUGGCUGGGAAGAGGAAGUCCAGUUGAUAUGUGAGGAGAGAGAUGAUAUAUCGGAUGAAAGAUAAGUGUUACGUGAAAGAUUUGGAAAAAAAACAUUCUUGCCACUAAUGUUAACAUUUCUUCUGUGAGCCAAAAGCAGAUAAUUUUGUAGUUAUGACUACACGAUACAUCAUUCAUACGUAUGUGCUGCUUCAUGUUUCUUCUGUGUUAAUAUAAAUGUUUAAUUUGUAUUUUCUAUUUGUGUGAAAUGUUCCUUCUGUUUGCUAC